GACUGAUUUGUUGUUCUUUUUUUAUGAGGAUUAGUUGAUUUUGUGAUGAUUGUGUAACAAUUGGUUUAAUAUUUGUUUUUUUUGAUACGGAUUAUGAUUUUUUGAUUGAUUUAUGUUUUAGAUGUGGAUUAGAUACCCACGUAUUUUAAUUUUUAUUUUUAUUUUCUCGGUUUGGAACCGAAAGAAAUUGGCAGCAAACCAUGUCCUGCUGGGGGAUUGUGUGAUGUAAGUAGAUGGUCCGCUUAUUAUUUUAUCUUUAUUUGUGUUGGUGUAUAUCCGGGUUUUUAUAUGAUAUUAGUGUUUCGUGUGUAUAAAUUUGUUUUAAUUCAGGUCAAUAUGCUACUUUUGUAGAGGGUUUUGUGCAAUACAUUUUGUGGAUUAGUGCUGAAUAGUUAGUUUUUUUAGGACUCAGAAGUAAUGGGAAAUAUAUUUGUUCUUGUGAAGGAGGUUUGGUUUGGGUACACAUCGCCCGCCAUCUUC
rnacentral:rRNA from 1 species